GACGAACGCUGGCGGCGUGCCUAAUACAUGCAAGUAGAACGCUGAAGGAGGAGCUUGCUUCUCUGGAUGAGUUGCGAACGGGUGAGUAACGCGUAGGUAACCUGCCUGGUAGCGGGGGAUAACUAUUGGAAACGAUAGCUAAUACCGCAUAAUAGCAGUUGUUGCAUGACAACUGUUUGAAAGGUGCAAAUGCAUCACUACCAGAUGGACCUGCGUUGUAUUAGCUAGUUGGUGGGGUAAAGGCUCACCAAGGCGACGAUACAUAGCCGACCUGAGAGGGUGAUCGGCCACACUGGGACUGAGACACGGCCCAGACUCCUACGGGAGGCAGCAGGAGGGAAUCUUCGGCAAUGGACGGAAGGCUGACCGAGCAACGCCGCGGGAGUGAAGAAGGUUUUCGGAUCGUAAAGCUCUGUUGUAAGAGAAGAACGAGUGUGAGAGUGAAAAGUUCACACUGUGACGGUAUCUUACCAGAAAGGGACGGCUAACUACGUG
rnacentral:rRNA from 1 species